rnacentral:lncRNA from 1 species
AGGGACAGUCCCACCCUGGCAGCCGCGCGGAGAGGAGGGCGGCAGAGGAGACCGAAAACUAGGCUUGCCUGGGGCAGUCCAGCCGUAGUGGUGGGCGGGUGCGCGGUUCCUGGAUGUCCUGUAUUACCUGGUGACCUGACGACGCAGGUGGACGUGACUGGUCCCCUGACACUGAGUGCAUGCGGUGAUCCUGGUGGUCCUCUUGCUGGUGGGAGCCGUCAACAGAAGGAUCCAGGCAAAUUUCUGAAAGUGUGAACUUCCUUUCUGAAAACGCAUGACAGAUGAGACAAAUCUGAUAUCACAAAUAAGUAAGUUAGAUAUUUUGUUGUAAGGUGUAAUUAUACUGUGGGAAAAGGAGAAAGUGGAGCAGAGUAAAGGAAAUCAUGAGCGCUGGGCAGGUGAAGGAGGGACAGGUUACUCGAUCAAAUAAGAUGGUCAGAGCAGAGACUAAAAAAUAAUGGAACGAG